UCAGGACGAACGCUGGCGGCACGCUUAACACAUGCAAGUCGAACGGAGAAUUUUGGUUACUAAGGAUUCUAGUGGCGGACGGGUGAGUAACACGUGAGCAACCUGCCUCUGAGAGAGGGAUAGCUUCUGGAAACGGAUGGUAAUACCUCAUAACAUAUCUGAAAGGCAUCUUUUGGAUAUCAAAGAUUUAUCACUCAGAGAUGGGCUCGCGUCUGAUUAGGUAGUUGGUGAGGUAACGGCUCACCAAGCCGACGAUCAGUAGCCGGACUGAGAGGUUGAACGGCCACAUUGGGACUGAGACACGGCCCAGACUCCUACGGGAGGCAGCAGUGGGGAAUAUUGCACAAUGGGGGGAACCCUGAUGCAGCGACGCCGCGUGGAGGAAGAAGGUUUUCGGAUUGUAAACUCCUGUCUUAAAGGACGAUAAUGACGGUACUUUAGGAGGAAGCUCCGGCUAACUACGUGCCAGCAGCCGC
rnacentral:rRNA from 1 species